rnacentral:rRNA from 1 species
GAUGAACGCUGGCGGCGUGCCUAAUACAUGCAAGUCGAGCGAACAGACGAGGAGCUUGCUCCUCUGACGUUAGCGGCGGACGGGUGAGUAACACGUGGAUAACCUACCUAUAAGACUGGGAUAACUUCGGGAAACCGGAGCUUAUACCGGAUAAUAUAUUGAACCGCAUGGUUCAAUAGUGAAAGACGGUUUUGCUGUCACUUAUAGAUGGAUCCGCGCCGCAUUAGCUAGUUGGUAAGGUAACGGCUUACCAAGGCGACGAUGCGUAGCCGACCUGAGAGGGUGAUCGGCCACACGGGAACUGAGACACGGUCCAGACUCCUACGGGAGGCAGCAGUAGGGAAUCUUCCGCAAUGGGCGAAAGCCUGACGGAGCAACGCCGCGUGAGUGAUGAAGGUCUUCGGAUCGUAAAACUCUGUUAUUAGGGAAGAACAAAUGUGUAAGUAACUAUGCACGUCUUGACGGUACCUAAUCAGAAAGCCACGGCUAACUACGUG